UACGUAGGGAGCAAGCGUUGUCCGGAAUCAUUGGGCGUAAAGCGCGCGUAGGUGGCUUCGUAAGUCCGUUGUGAAAGUCAAAGGCUCAACCUUUGAAAGCCGAUGGAUACUGCGGAGCUCGAGUACGGAAGAGGCGAGUGGAAUUCCUGGUGUAGCGGUGGAAUGCGCAGAUAUCAGGAGGAACACCAAUAGCGAAGGCAGCUCGCUGGGACGUUACUGACACUGAGGCGCGAAAGCGUGGGGAGCGAACAGG
rnacentral:rRNA from 1 species